UACGUAGGGUGCAAGCGUUGUCCGGAGUUAUUGGGCGUAAAGAGCUCGUAGGCGGUUUGUCGUGUCGAAUGUGAAAACCCGGGGCUCAACCCCGGGCCUGCAUUCGAUACGGGCAGACUAGAGUUCGGUAGGGGAGUCUGGAAUUCCUGGUGUAGCGGUGAAAUGCGCAGAUAUCAGGAGGAACACCGGUGGCGAAGGCGGCCUGCUGGGCAGUAGCUGACGCUGAUGCGCGACAGCGUGGGGAGCAAACAGG
rnacentral:rRNA from 1 species